AGUCGCGCGAGAAAUGUAGCAAUACAUGGAAAGCGGCGAAAGGGAGAGUAAUACAUAGGUACGUACCCUUGGGACUGGGAUAGCGGCGGGAAACUGCCGGUAAUACCAGAUGACGUUUCCGAACCAAAGGUGUGAAUCCGCCUGAGGAGCGGCCUAUGUCCUAUUAGCUUGUUGGCGAGGUAACGGCUCACCAAGGCAAAGAUGGGUAUGGGGUGUGAGAGCAUGCCCCCACUCACUGGGACUGAGACACUGCCCAGACACCUACGGGUGGCUGCAGUCGAGAAUCUUCGGCAAUGGACGCAAGUCUGACCGAGCGACGCCGCGUGCGGGAUGAAGGCCUUCGGGUUGUAAACCGCUGUCGUAGGGGAGGAAAUUCUGGUGGGUACUCCCAUCAGAUUGACUGAUCCUAGGAGGAAGGACCGGCUAAUCUCGUGCCAGCAGCCGCGGUAAUACGAGAGGUCCAAACGUUAUUCGGAAUCACUGGGCUUACAGAGUUCGUAGGCGGUCCAGAAAGUGGGGUGUGAAAGCCCUCGGCUCAACCGAGGAACUGCGCUCCAAACUACUGGGCUAGAGGAAGAUAGAGGUGAGCAGAACUGAUGGUGGAGCGGUGAAAUGCGUUGAUAUCAUCAGGAAUACCGGAGGCGAAGGCGGCUCACUGGGUCUUUUCUGACGCUGAGGAACGAAAGCUAGGGGAGCAAACGGGAUUAGAUACCCCGGUAGUCCUAGCCGUAAACGAUGAGCACUGGGCCGGAGCUCUGCACAGGGUUUCGGCCGUAGCGAAAGUGUUAAGUGCUCCGCCUGGGGAGUAUGG
rnacentral:rRNA from 1 species